UUCUACACAUCGUCUCUCUUCUUCACAAAGAUCGCUCUUCUCUUCUCUCACACACUCUGUUGUCAAGACAAUGGUAAAGAUCAUGGUGGCGAUACAAGGAGGUUUUUGUCAAGGAAAUGAUGAGAUACAGACAUUAUUGGUAUGCUUCUCGAAUCCCACUGCUCGAUCGUAUUCAGGGCUUAAAUUUUGGUUGCAAGCAAUGGCUGCAAAUCCAUCGGGGUUGGAGAAUUGAAUGGUGGAGCGGCCAAACUUGUGGAGGAUCAAGAUUGAUGGGAUAAAACAAGACCUUGGUUCGGUCCUUUUUUCAUUCCCUUCAUUGUGAAAGGUUAGAGAGACUUCAUUAGGUUGUUGCAGAAAAUUCAAUAUUCCAAGCUAAAGCGGAAUCUGCAAUCCUUCAGGUAUUGGUAUGAAUACCUGAAGAUAUUAUACUCUGAUCAAACUAAAAGGUCACAUGUUUAGUGCUGUAGAGUGGUGCUAAUGCUUUCCAUCUUUUGAUGUCAUGCACUGGGACAUUGUGGUUCUUGUUGGGCUUUUGGUGCUGCUGAGUCGUUGUCUGAUUGUUUCUGAUACUCAUUUUGGCUAGGUAAAUUCAUUCCUUCAUGCAAACAAAGUCUUGCAAGUUUAUUCUAGUUAUGGUCACUAAUGAUUCAAUUUUUAUAUGUGAGGCAGAAUAUUUCUAUGUCAGCAAAUGAUAUCGUAGCAUGCUGUGGUCACUGAAGAGGUAGUAAUACUGUUACAUCUUUUUAUAUAUUGUAGGAUUUUUAUACCCAUUUUAAAAAGAUAACCCAUUUUAUACCCAUUUUCCUGUCAGUGUGACCCUUAGUUUGAUAAAAAGGGAUGUUCCCACCCUGGAUAUUGUCAUUCCGUAGUUCAAGAGGAAGUGUGUUAAAAGGAAUCUACACCGGAGUAAGUCCUAGCAUUUUUGCGUCAAUGCGUUCCUGAACGUGGAACUUGAUGUCUGUGAUGCUUUCCUCGACGCCUCAAUGUGAUUACUAAUUCUUCAAGUAAAACACUAAUUAAAUAGGAUUCAUUCAAGUUUCUGAAGAUUUGGGGAAUAACAUUUUAAAGCUUCAUAUUCUUCCCCUCCUAAUUUAUCCGCAACAUUUGUAAUCUGCAACUGUUCCACAAUCUUAAUGAGAGUAAAAGUACUCUUGCCUA